GGCCUGAUGGUGCAGUGGCUAUGCAUCUAGCUACCCGUGUCCUGGAAAAGUCGGCCGCCAAUGAGCGAGUCGUGACUAGGCAGGGGGGUGGGUUCGAAUCCCACUCAGGUCA